rnacentral:rRNA from 1 species
UCCGUAGGUGAACCUGCGGAAGGAUCAUUCACAAUAAGUGUUUUAUGGCACUUUUUCAAUCCAUAUCCACCUUGUGUGCAAUGUUGUCUUGUAACGCGAAUGCUUGUCAUUUGCGGUACAGGAUGUAAACAUCAACUCUUAUUUUUAACAACUUUGUCUGAAAACCUGUAUGAAUACUUAAUUCAAAUACAACUUUCAACAACGGAUCUCUUGGCUCUCGCAUCGAUGAAGAACGCAGCGAAAUGCGAUACGUAAUGUGAAUUGCAGAAUUCAGUGAAUCAUCGAAUCUUUGAACGCAUAUUGCGCUCUCUGGUAUUCCGGAGAGCAUGCUUGUUUGAGUAUCAGUAAACACCUCAAAUCCCUCUACUUGUUGGAGGAAUUUGGACUUGAGCAAUCCCAACUUUUCGAAAGAGAAGGCGGGUUGCUUGAAAUGCAGGUGCAGCUAGAUUCUUUCUUCUGAGCUAUAAGCAUACUUAUUUAAUCCCGUCAAACGGAUUAUUACUUUUGCUGCAGCUAACAUAAAGGUUGAAGAGUCGCUAUGGCUGACUGAUGCAGGAUUUAACAUGUCGCGCAAGCGAUCUGUAAACUCGAUCUCAAAUCAAGCAAGACUACCCGCUGAACUUAAGCAUAUCAAUAAGCGGAGGA